GGCAUGGGCCAAUGAGAUGCAUGCACUAGUGAUAUCUGAAGAACUAGCAAAUGAUGUCCUGGGAGCUGAACUGCUUAUCAAACGUCAUGAGGAAUACAAGCGUGAGAUAGAGAAGCAGUGGCUAAAAUAUGAAGAAAUACAGCGGGCAGGAGAUGACCUAAUGAGGAAUGGACAUUUCAUGUCUGUGGAGAUUGAAGAAAAACUGCUAGAGCUGUCAGAGCUGAUGAAGAAAGUAAAGGAGAGCUGGAACAUGAGGAAAGAGUUGUAUGAAGAAAACUGGGAGAUUCAAUUGCUCCGCAGAGAGCUAGAACAAGCAGAAGCAUGGCUGGCUGCCAAGGAGAGCUUUCUUUCAGACCCCAGCUAUGGGGAUUCUGUGUCUGAAGUAGAGGAACUACUGAAGAAACAUCGUGACUUUGAGAACAUGCUUGCAGCUCAGGAGGAGAAAUUUGCUCAGCUCAGCAGGAAAACUAAGGUGAGAUGUAAGAGGCUGAUUAGCUGUAUCUGAGACAGGAUGAUCUAGAAUCUUAGGUAUCUGGAGUCGGUCAUUCCAUGUAAGAAUACUCAAUGCUUCCACAGCAAACUUAGAGAAGCAGUGGCAGUUUCUCUAGAGGUUAUUAAAGUCUCUAGAUAAGGUCUCAAGGUUAUUAAAGUCUCUAGCUCAGGGUAUAGCAAAUAAAUUUAUUUCUAAUGGUUAGAAUGCCAGUGAAGGUAUAGUCCUUAAAAUUUAGUGCCAGAAUAGAGUGCAUUUGAAACACAUUCGUGCUUAAAAUAAAAGCUUCUCUGGAAAGUACCCAUGAGUGCACAUACACAGGUAAUUUAAAAAAUGUAAUAUUUAUGUCCUACAGAGGGAGAUGAAUCUUCUGAAACAGACAGAUGCAGAAGAAAGUGAGCAGAAAGAUAAAGGCAAAAUUGUACGGGUACCUUCUCUGAAAAGAAAAACAUCUGACAAAAGGAAUCCACCACCAAAAGUGAUAGAGAUAAGGAACACAAAGCCAGUGCAAUCUGUGCAACCACCACUCCUGUCCUGGACUCCACUUGAAACAAUUUUCUCCCCAGUUGAAAAGCCUGCAGUAGCAUUCCAACAAUUUGCUUCUGGGAAAGUUCCUGAGGUGCUGAGCAGCAAAAAAACAGAAAUGAAACCUGAGAGGAGACUCAGUGAGAUUAUCACUCCACCUACACCAAAGACAGUGGACCCACAAGCUACAUCUUUGGCGCAUCACAGUUCUUUAAGCUCUCCUUUAUCUCCUACACCCAUAAGCCUGCAACGCAGCAGCAAUUUCUCAGAAUCAUAUGCCGUGGGCCUUUUAUCACCUCAAGAAAAAAGUACUGAAAGCUACUCCUUCUCCAAUCUGCAAACAAAAUUAGCGGCAACAUCACCCAAGCCUGACCAGAAUUCAUUAAAUAAAUCACCAGAUUUACUGCUGUCUAGGUCCUCACGGGAUACAUUGGAGACUGCAUCCUUGGUUUCUGCAAGUCUCCAGCAUAUGGAGGGGUUCCUGGAAAAGAGAGACCAGCUUCUUCCAGGACGGCAACAGGUAGAAAAAAAAUGCCCCUAUUCUGGUUUAAUUCACCUUUCCUUGAGUUACAGUCCAGAUCAGGUCAGACUUCUUCAGGAUAAAACUAUGGUGAAGAGGAGAGCAGGACUGUAGGUUUAAAUCAGUUACUGCUAAAGAAGUGUCCACUGAUUUCAUUAGUACCUGAUCCUGUCCUUAACAGACAUU
rnacentral:lncRNA from 1 species